rnacentral:tRNA from 14 species
AGUUUAGUUUAACGGUUAGAACAUUGAAUUUCAAAUUCAAUUAUAAGGGUUCGAUUCCUUUAACUU